GCCUGGGUGGCUCAGUUAGUUAAGCGUCCGACUUCGGCUCAGGUCAUGAUCUCACAGUUUGUGGGUUCGAGCCCCACAUCAGGUU
rnacentral:tRNA from 1 species